rnacentral:rRNA from 1 species
GACGAACGCUGGCGGCGUGCCUAAUACAUGCAAGUAGAACGCUGAAGAAAGGAGCUUGCUUCUUUUGGAUGAGUUGCGAACGGGUGAGUAACGCGUAGGUAACCUGCCUUGUAGCGGGGGAUAACUAUUGGAAACGAUAGCUAAUACCGCAUAACAGCUUUUGACACAUGUUAGAAGCUUGAAAGAUGCAAUUGCAUCACUACGAGAUGGACCUGCGUUGUAUUAGCUAGUAGGUAGGGUAACGGCCUACCUAGGCGACGAUACAUAGCCGACCUGAGAGGGUGAUCGGCCACACUGGGACUGAGACACGGCCCAGACUCCUACGGGAGGCAGCAGUAGGGAAUCUUCGGCAAUGGGGGCAACCCUGACCGGGCAACGCCGCGUGAGUGAAGAAGGUUUUCGGAUCGUAAAGCUCUGUUGUAAGAGAAGAACGUGUGUGAGAGUGGAAAGUUCACACAGUGACGGUAACUUACCAGAAAGGGACGGCUAACUACGUGCCAGCAGCCGCCGUAAUAC